UACGAAGGGGGCUAGCGUUGCUCGGAAUCACUGGGCGUAAAGGGUGCGUAGGCGGGUUUCUAAGUCAGAGGUGAAAGCCUGGAGCUCAACUCCAGAACUGCCUUCGAUACUGGCGAUCUCGAGUCCGGGAGAGGUGAGUGGAACUGCGAGUGUAGAGGUGAAAUUCGUAGAUAUUCGCAAGAACACCAGUGGCGAAGGCGGCUCACUGGCCCGGUACUGACGCUGAGGUGCGAAAGCGUGGGGAGCAAACAGG
rnacentral:rRNA from 1 species